GGGAAGAAGGGUUUUAUGGCAUUAAAGCUUGAUAUGAGCAAAGCGUAAGAUCGGGUUGAGUAGGGUUUUCUUAGAAUAAUGAUAGAGAAGAAGAGUUUUGAUAAAAAGUGGAUAGAAUUAAUCAUGAGGUGUAUUUCCUUGGUCUCAUAUUCGGUAAUUGUCAAUAGGAAGGUUGGCGAUGCUUUUAAACCGAGUAGAGGACUGGGACAAGG
rnacentral:lncRNA from 1 species